AGUUGUCUCAAACAGUUGGUCAUAUGAUUGCUUGGCCACGUUCUUUGGUGACGCCUAUUGAGUACUGAUGAUUUCUCGAUUUACAUUUGGAUUCCAGGCUGCAGAUUGUUCACAUGAUAGAAGAAGCACAAGACAAUCUAUGUACCUACACAUGUACCAUGCUCUUUUGGAUGGAUUAGAAUUUUAUAAUUUUAGUACUAAUGAUGUUUUAUGUAGUUGAAGUAGAACCAAUG